GGGCAGUUAGCUCAGCUGGUUAGAGCGCUUCCUUGACAUGGAAGAGGUCACAGGUUCGACUCCUGUACUGCCCA
rnacentral:tRNA from 1 species